rnacentral:lncRNA from 10 species
CCAGCCUAUCGAUUCGUGGAAUGACUCAAUUAUUUCUUGUUUAAUUGAAGUGUAAUAUGUAUGAGAACACAGAAAUUAUCUAGCCCCAUUUUCUCAUUUAACAGAUUUGCAGAAUUGUGGCAAAAUGGAGGUUCACUGACAACCAUGGUCACCUUUCAUGACUUUUUGUCCGUUUAGUUUCACUUUAAACAUUUACUAAGUCAGAAGCUGUCAUUUCUUUGAGAAGUUAUAGGUAAGUAAACAAAUUGAAAAAAAUUAUCAGCAUGAGUUGAGAAGACAGUUCAUCUAAAAUGAAGUAGAAAGAUGGGGUAAGAAGAUCCCCUUCCUAAUUGGAAGUAGGCUGACUUGGCAAUUUUAAUUGUGUGUAGUGCGUAAAUAAGUUCUACUAGGUGAGUUCCAAUUAUAGUUACGUUUUUACUCCAGAAAAUCCAGGUUUUUCUUUGAACUGGAAAUCCUGCUCACAAUCUGCAUUCUCCGCUCAACCAUGACUGGAACUUGACAAAGGCUCUAUAAUCAUGCAAACAUUUCCUGGUGACUUCACCUUCUAGUUUCGAUUUCUAGUCGGACAAAUGAAGAGAUCUGUUGUAAUGCGAAACUUUGGCAUUUUGCAUUUAGUUUGUUUAACACUGUUGCAUAAUGCGUUUCACCAGAGGUGAGUUAGUUGGCAAGACUUGAUUCAUUAAAGAUAAUCAGUUAUUCAUUUAUUCAUUCAUUUAACAAAUACCUACGGACAUCGGAUUUGUGCCAGCUAAAGUCAUAUGCUGAGUGCUGUGGAUUCAGAGCUAAAAGCCAGUGAGCUCAGCCUGGAGAGGACACUGAUACUCAAGCAGGUGAUUCCACUGUGGUGUGGCAUGUAUUACCUCUGUGGGAACUCAAAAGAGGUGUGGCAGAUCUGUCAGAGUGGUGGAAGAAGCUAUAGGGAAAGAAGCAGGCCUUUUGAAAGGUCAGAAGGCUCUGCAAAGUUUCAGGGGACAAUAAGCUGAAGGCAGCUGUUCUCUUACCCUGGGGCAGAGGGUGAGACACAGGUACAAGGAAAUAACAGGGGAAUUUAUCUCAAUAGGCUUGUUUACCCAUGUUGUCCAGAAACCCACCUUUGACCAUCCACGCACGACUGCUCCCUGUAAGGGGGAACAAUAAUGUUAAUUACCUGCAGAUUGUGUUUGCUCCAGGCUUUCGGCAUUAUGUCUGUACUAAAUAAAACCAUGCAGUGCUAGCUUAUCAAGUCUGCUCUCUCUUCAGCCCCUAGUGCGGGCAAGUCCCUUAGCAGCUCUUACACUGCAUACCUGUGUCUGAGUACUCCUUUCAUCCAUCGCUCAGCCAGGGUGUGUGGGACAGACCUGGCAGCUGGUGCCUGCUGUGAGAAACACUACAACGGAUUGCAAUGGAACCCUCAAAAAUGAGGGUGAAGAGUCUGCGCCGUCCGAUGCAAAGCUGGAAAACGAGCUGUAGCCGCUACACCUGACAAACCCGUUGCUGCACAUAUAUGUACUCUUCAAUCAACAAGACCUGAUGCAAAAAACAGAAAAGGGGAAGAUGUGAGGGAUCAGUCAGAGUGGUGGGCUCAAGAGUGGACUUAAUGAGGGCUGUCUCAAGGUUCUGUAAUAAAUAAACAGAGUAAGCAGUCACUAACAAUAUUGAUAUGCUGAGUGGAAAAGGUUUCUACGGCUAAUAUUAGGGCUCCAACCUCAGCUCUUUGAGUGCUAGUAAAUCCAGAUAGAGUGAGGGAGUUAUGUGGUUCCCACCAGACAGCUGCUUUUCCAUUUUUACCAGAGCCAUCGGUAAAAAGCAUUAAAGCGUUAGGUAUGGGGGUGUGAACUACCUUUGUAGGCAUAGCUACAGGAAUAUGAGAUAAGAACUGAAGUAGUUUGUCAGCAGGAAGGCCAUGUUCUAUACAGCCCGCAUAAUCAGAGAGUGCUAUCCUGAGGGUCUAGAGGUAGGAGCAGGACUGCUUUGAAUUGUUUUUUACUUAAGGGAAUUCUUAUGACAUCAGGGUCAUAACCUAGCAAUUAUUUGCAUCAUCUGCAGCCUGUAUAGAUGACUUUACUAACUAGCUGGACAUAGCGAGAUAGUGUUUUGGUCCCGGUAUAUGAGCAAAAAACCCACUCUAGGAAGCGUAGCCCUGGGGCCAUCUGUCCUGUUAAUUCUGUUGGGGAAUGAUUAGUAGGAAAAACAAACAAUUGGAAUGAAUAUCGUGGGUCUAUGCAAUCUAGUUGCCUCUGAGAAAUAGCUUGCUCUGUUUCCUGUAUGAAACCCACUUGAUCGUGGUGGAUUAUCUUUUUGAUACCACCUGUUCCCCAAUAACCUAUGGAAAUCAAAAAAAAUUUUUUAAAAUAAAGAACAGUAUCUGGCACACAGCAGGAGUUCAAUAAAUAUUUAAGAAAAGAAAAACUUUUUGUGUAACCAAACACCACCUGUUCCCCAAAAACCUUUUGAAAUAAAAAAAUAAAAUUUUAAAAAAGAUUACAUUAUUAAAAAAUAAAUAAAUAAAAAAGAAGACUGGGUGCGGGGGCUCAUGUCUGUAAUCCCAGCACUUUGGGAGGCCGAAGCAGGUAGACCGCUUGAGCCCAGGAGUUUAAGACCAGCCUGAGCAGCAUGGUGAGACCCCAUCUCUACAAAAAAUACAAAAAAAUUGGCUGGGCAUGCUGGCACAUGCCUCUGAUCCCAGCUACUCAGGAG